rnacentral:rRNA from 1 species
UAGAUGCGAGAGUAGAGCAUAUCAAUAAGCGGAGGAAAAGAAACUAACAAGGAUUCCCCUAGUAACGGCGAGUGAAGCGGGAAGAGCUCAAAUUUGAAAUCUUAAAGGGUUUCCCUUUACGAAUUGUAGUUUAAAGAAGUGUUUUCUGUUGGAGUUUCGGUAAAAGUUCUUUGGAAUAGGACAUCAUAGAGGGUGAGAAUCCCGUAUUUGACCGUUACUUUCCAGCUGUGUGAUACACUUUCAAAGAGUCGGAUUGUUUGGGAAUGCAGUCCAAGAUGGGUGGUAAAUUUCAUCUAAAGCUAAAUAUUGGCGAGAGACCGAUAGCGAACAAGUACCGUGAGGGAAAGAUGAAAAGAACUUUGAAAAGAGAGUUAAACAGUACGUGAAAUUGUCAAAAGGGAAGCGUUUGACACCAGUGUUGUUUAGUUGAAAAUCAAUUCAAUAGUUUUUGAUUCUAAGUAGUAUUGACUUCAUCAGCUUGCUGCUUUCUUCUCAGAAAUUAUUGAAUGCACUUUUCAGUUAACAAGUCAACAUCAAUUUCUUUUGUUGUAAAAGGGUAAGAGGAAGGUGGCUUGCGCUUCGGCUCAAGUGUUUAUAGCCUUUUAUCUCUGCAAUCGGAGAGAUUGAGGUCUGCAGCGUAGAUCCUUCGGGGUUAGAUACAUUGGUGCUAAGCUAUAGCCUUGUAUAGACAACUUGUUGACUAUGCUCAGUCAUGUAGCUUACUCGCUGAUGCUAUUUUACCUACGCUUAGGAUGUUGACACACGCGCGUGCUCG